AUUGAACGCUGGCGGAAUGCUUUACACAUGCAAGUCGAACGGCAGCACGGGGGCAACCCUGGUGGCGAGUGGCGAACGGGUGAGUAAUACAUCGGAACGUGCCCAGUCGUGGGGGAUAACGUAGCGAAAGCUACGCUAAUACCGCAUACGAACUCUGGUUGAAAGCGGGGGAUCGCAAGACCUCGCGCGAUUGGAGCGGCCGAUGGCAGAUUAGGUAGUUGGUGGGGUAAAGGCCUACCAAGCCGACGAUCUGUAGCUGGUCUGAGAGGACGACCAGCCACACUGGGACUGAGACACGGCCCAGACUCCUACGGGAGGCAGCAGUGGGGAAUUUUGGACAAUGGGCGCAAGCCUGAUCCAGCCAUUCCGCGUGCAGGAUGAAGGCCCUCGGGUUGUAAACUGCUUUUGUACGGAACGAAACGGCGCUGGUUAAUACCUGGCGCUAAUGACGGUACCGUAAGAAUAAGCACCGGCUAACUACGUGCCAGCCGCCGCCGUAACAC
rnacentral:rRNA from 1 species